rnacentral:lncRNA from 1 species
GUUAACUUGCUCAGUUUAAUGUAUCAAGUAAUAAGUGAAGUCUACAUUCAAACUCAGGGACACCUGAUUUCAAAGCACUUAACUUCUCUAAUUCAUUUUUAUUUUUAUUUUUUGGAUUUUUGGCUAUUUUAUGCUAUUAAUUAGGUAAUAUUUUACUAGGGAUAGAAGAAACAGAAAGAUGAUAGAUGUGGAUUAAGUGGUGGUAGUACAGGAAGAAAUUGGACAUCUUGUAUGCUGUCAAGUGGUGGAGUUUUAGGGAAAUAUUGGGAAAUUUUUGUUUACUUGCUGAUAUAACAUUGGUAUUACCUUCUGACGUUUUCAUACUUUCUUAAAGCAUUAUUCCACCUUCGUUGGUUACCUACCUGUUUCCCUCAUGGCAAUUAUCCACCAUGGACAUUGCUGGAGCUGCUGUGCUCCCUUUAGCACAUCCCCACUCAGUAUGUUUAGUACUUUCUUGUGACACUAUUAUCUCAUUGCUUAACUGUGUGCAAGAAAUCAAAGGAAAAAAACUCUCAAUCUAGUAGGUUUUUCAUUGCUGCCCUAGCAAUUUAUUGCAAAUGAAUGGCUAAAACAUCACAAAUGUAUUACAUUUUUUAGUCAUAAGUUUGGUGUUGGUCUCAGCAGUCUAAAAUCAAAGUGUCUGCAGGGCUGAGACUGUAUGGGGGAAUCUGUUUUCUGCUCAUUACUAUCAUUUACCACAUUCAGUGCUCUCUGACUGUAGUACGGAGGUCCCUUUCUUCUUGCUAACUGUAAGCUGAGGAACAGUCUCAGCUUCCAGAAGCAGUCUGCAUUCCUUGGCUUUUGGUUCUCUUCUUCCUUCUUUAAAGCCAAUAACAGUUCAAUGAAUCCUUUUCAGAUUUUCUUCUGACCCAUUCUUCUUUCACUUUUAUGGAUUCAGGUGAUUAGAUGGAUCCAUCUAUAUAACAUGAGAUACUCUCCCCAAAUCAAGGUCCUUAACCUUAAUCAAAUAUGCAAUAUCUCCUUUGCCAUGUAACAACAUAUCCAUAGUUUCCUGGGAUUAAGAUAUGGGUAUCUUUGGGAGGCCAUUAUUCUGUUUAAUGCAUCUUCAUCAAACACAAUCAUUUUAGGCUUACACAAGCACUUUAAGAAAUUGUUCCAAUUAAUUGAAGCAGUUCUAUAAAUUUUACUUUCUUAUAAUUAAACUGUAUUUAUUAAUCUCUUGGCCUCUAGUUUUGUUCUUGCAAAUCACAGUAGUUUAACUAUUAAAAAGACAUUUCUCAAACCCUUGCAACAAUGAUUUCCUGGAAAACCUUUUAUUAGUUCAUUGAAGUUAUUCAUAAUAUUAGAGUUAAUUUUGACAUAAAGAUAGAAGCAUGGAAUAUAAUUUGCUCCAGUGCAGUCCACAGAAUUUCCCUUUACCUCCAUUCCUUUCUCCCCCUUUUCCCUUUCCUCUACUGCAUGGGAUCUUUUUUCUGUUUAUUUAUAGUUUUUUAAAAAUUUUAAAUCCUUGUAAAUAUAUAUAAAGGUGA